AAACAAGAGCUCAAGGAUGGUGGCUGGGGUUCAGUCUGCCGCUGCAAAUACCAAAAGCUGUCCUCAUUGAGUCAUCCCUCCCAGAGCAGGAAGAGCAGAGAUAAAACAGCAUGUAAGCAUCUCUGCAGUUGCUGUCCCCAGAGCCCACUUCCUGGAUAUUGCCAGCUGCCUGGACCAACCUUUCCGAAAGAUCAGCCAGGUCACAGUGAGGGUCAAAGCAGGAGGCCACUGGAGGCUCCAAGGGCUCUGAAAUGUUGAGAACUUCCCUGCAGGUACCAGCGAAGAGGGCAAGAACACAGCACUACUUCCUUGGAUACUGUUUCCCUCCUCAGAGGGGUUUUCUGAGCUGCCCUGGGUCCUGUGAGGAAGGCAGAAGUCCUAGCAGAGUAUGCCCACGCUGGUUAGUGCUGCUGCAAAGAUGAGCCGAAGACCAUGAGAGACCUCCAGGUGGUCCUUCUGGGGAGAAGAAAUGGGUUUUGGCCCCAAAUCCUUCUGCUGCAUUUUUCCCCUAUCCCUGGGAAGCCAUGAGACCUCAAACCUGUGUUCCCAAGGAGGCGAGCUGCUGUUCCCAGGUGAUGAUAUGAUGUGCUUGGGGAAAGUAAGUGGCUGCCAGACAUGGCUGAGAGCUGUUGUCACUGCCGUCAAGUGCAUGUCUCCAAGCCAUAUCACACGGCGUCCCUCGAUGUGAGGCCACAUGGCAAGUGGGCCGUGGAUCUCCCUCUGCCCUUUGCAAGCACGUAAGACAGCAGAUUUUGCAGAUACCUUGUGGCGCAGGGGAAUUUCCUUUGGCCAGGUCUGAAGAAAUAAAGCAGCAGGCACCGAGAACAAAGCCAAGGCUUUCAAAAGACAAGGAGCCAAAAAACUUACUCAAAAUAAAAGUAGUUUUAAAAUGUC
ensembl:lncRNA novel transcript